rnacentral:rRNA from 1 species
AUUGAACGCUGGCGGCAGGCCUAACACAUGCAAGUCGAGCGAGCGGCGGACGGGUGAGUAAUGUAUGGGGACUGCCCGAUAGAGGGGGAUAACUACUGGAAACGGUGGCUAAUACCGCAUACUAGCGGAUAUCCCAUAUGGGUUUAGCUAGUGGGUGGGGUAAAGGCUCACCGAGUCGACGAUCUCUAGCUGGUCUGAGAGGAUGAUCGGCCAAACUGGGACUGAGACACGGCCCAGAUUCCUACGGAGGCAGAAGUGGGGAAUAUGGAACAAUGGGCGCAAGCCUGAUGCAGCCAUGCCGCGUGUAUGAAGAAGGCCUUAGGGUUGUAAAGUACUUUCAGCGGGGAGGCGUUACCCGCAGAAGAAGCACCGGCUAACUCCGUGCCAGAAGCCGCGGUAAUAC